GGUGUCUGUUUAAAAAGGAACUGUAUUGUGCAGGACAGGAGUUACAUUUAAUAAAGCUGGUAAUAUAUGUUUUCUAAAAAAUAAAAUCCUGUCUAGAAGAGUCACUCGGUUAUUCUGUUUUAUGACAUUCGUGUAUACGGCUGAUUGGAGAAAUCAUUCGUUAAAAAGUGGCGAAAGUCUAACGUUCAUCUAGUAUAAAUUUG